GAGAAUGUAUUUCAGUGGUAGAAUCUAUGUUUAGCAUGUGUAAGGUCCUGGGUUCAAUUCUCAGCAUGCAUG
rnacentral:tRNA from 1 species